rnacentral:rRNA from 1 species
UACGUAGGGGGCAAGCGUUGUCCGGAAUCAUUGGGCGUAAAGAGCGCGUAGGCGGCCCUGUAAGUCCGCUGUGAAAGUCAAGGGCUCAACCCUUGGAUGCCGGUGGAUACUGCAGGGCUAGAGUCCGGAAGAGGCGAGUGGAAUUCCUGGUGUAGCGGUGAAAUGCGCAGAUAUCAGGAGGAACACCGAUGGCGAAGGCAGCUCGCUGGGACGUUACUGACACUGAGGCGCGAAAGCGUGGGAGCGAACAGG